rnacentral:rRNA from 1 species
CAGUAGCCGCGGGAAUACGAAGGGGGCUAGCGUUGUUCGGAAUUACUGGGCGUAAAGCGCACGUAGGCGGACAUUUAAGUCAGGGGUGAAAUCCCGGGGCUCAACCCCGGAACUGCCUUUGAUACUGGGUGUCUAGAGUAUGGAAGAGGUGAGUGGAAUUCCGAGUGUAGAGGUGAAAUUCGUAGAUAUUCGGAGGAACACCAGUGGCGAAGGCGGCUCACUGGUCCAUUACUGACGCUGAGGUGCGAAAGCGUGGGGAGCAAACAGGAUUAGAGACCCCAGUAGUCCCUGUCUCUUAUAC